UACACAUAACUUCCCUCUUAGGAAUAGCAAGAAUGUUAUGUUUGAAGUGGUGCAUGUAGAUUUCUUUUGUUUAACAAUCUGUGAUAUUGUAAUGGAUUAAAAAAUACAUAUUUGUCAGCCUGUAGCUGCUAGCUUAGCUCAUUAAGCUAGUCACUACCGUUACGUGCCCAGGCUGCCUAUUAGCCUGCAUGACGUUGUACAUGUAGCUAGUAGUUAACAUGACUAACGUUAGUUAAUGUUAUAUUUGUGAUGUGCUGUAUUAUUUUAUCAGCCUGUUUAUUUAGCUUAGUUAAUGUUAGUCACUUUCUCGUUUUAGAUGUCAUGCUAGCUGAGUGGUCUGGGUUCCAUCCACCUGUUUUUAGGCAUAUUUUCAAUUGUAAUAAUAGUGGUAGACCUGUGAUCUGUCAGAUCAGUGUGGAGUGAUGAGGAGACUGUAACCUUCCUCACAUUAAUACAUGAAACAAACAGAAAUGUCAUAUUUUCAUCAUUUUCUACAUUGUUUUUUCACCGUUUGAGGUUUGAUUGGCACUCACUCAAUUACAUCAUUAUGCAAUGGUAUAAUGGCACCCAACCGGAGAAUUGGCCCCACCUACUGUUUAUCUUGAUGAACGAACUCCUAAUAAUGGCAUUACGGUAGUGGAUGGAAACAAGCAUUCAUUUGCAUUUUCUUUUGCCGAUUUUGUCUCAAUGUCAAGCAGGGAAUUCAGGAACAUAAGGAAAUAGGACCCCAUUGCAGACAACGGAGGAAGAACUGGUACAGUUCAGUGAUUUAAUGAACAAAAAAAAAAACAAAGAUAUAAAGGCUUACAGCAUGAUGAGGCAGGCAAGGGUGGGUCAAAACCAAGCAGUCCAACACAGGCAAACAAGUCCAAAGAAGCAAGAAAAUCCAACAACACUAGGAAGGGCUGGAAAGCUUGACACGAAAAACAAAGACAAACUGGCAACAAGAUAAGGGAAACACACCAACUAAAUACACUAGGGGAAGAUAAGACACAGGUGAAACUAAUCAAGGCAGGGCAAACAAUCAAAACUGGAGGGAAAAACAGAAAGACAGGAAGUGUAGCUACACAACACAUGAGGUGAGUAUACAAAAUAAAAAGGGAAAUGACUAAACUCAAAACCAUCAAACCAUGACCAACCGAAAUUACCUUUCAGAAUAUGGCUUUAUGUUUCCUAGCAUUAUAAGUAUGGGGAUGUGUAGUGUGUAGUCAAGUUUUAUGUCUUUAUUGUAGAUUGUUUUCCAAGCUGGCACAGAGCCUAUUCAGUUGAAUGGAUCAUCAUGCACCUGUGCAGCAGGCAAAGUUCUAUUCAACCAUCUCAUGGCCAUGAGUGCCCAUUACAGCAUUGUGCAGUUGAAGGAAGUACCACCAACUAUGGCCUGCUCAAGCAAUCUGCAAACAUCGGCCCUGGACACAGGAUCCCUCCCUGACCCAUCAGUGUUGUCCCUUGGGGAAGGACUAAAAAGCCUCAAACCCCAGCCACUAAUAUCCCUGCUAUCCGUGCUACAUGGCUUGUCUGAGCUUUCACUGGUUGACUACAGGUUUUGACCUGUGCCGUGAAGUUCACUACUGUGGCCACAAGUCAUGUCAAACAUCCAGAUGCCCCAGCAUUCCCCAAAGUCCCUGUGGAUGGUGCCAAAUUUUCCACUGCCAUACACUUUGUCCCAAACUUCCACCAGUUCUUCCAUUUGGAGCAACAGCCAGUAGGUUCAAUGAGGUUUGCCAUGUACGAGGGGAGUCUUCUGGUCAGGCACUGGCAGCGUGAAUACUUAAGAGAGUAUGAAAACUAGCGCAAUAAAAAGGGGCCUUGAGUGUGAAAGUGCAGCCAAAAACAGCUGAACUACGUGGGGCACCACGUCGACGGAGAAGGUAUCCGGCCUGACCCCGCAAAAGAAUGUGCCAUUACAGAGCUAUAACCACCAGGUAAUAUGCCAAGCCUGUAACGGUUCCUGGGUAUGGUCCAUUACCUGGGGAGGUACCUGCCCAACCUGUCAGAGGUGAUAAUGACCUGCUGAAAUGUGAGGCUGUGUGGACCUGGGAUGCAGGACACGCCAAUGCAUUCAUCAAGGUAAAGCAAUGAAUCUCCACUGCAUCCAUUCUUGCAUUCUACGAUGUAAAAAAACCCAUAAUAGUUAGCCCUGACGCACGCAGGUAGCUACAGGCUGGGGCUGACUUGCUGAUGGACUGAAACCAGUGGCCGGACUUCACAAAGGUGUGUAAAGCUGAUGCUAAGGCAAAAGAGGGUUACAGGUGUGCCUACAACAAGCACCACAGCAUCAAAGCAUUCACACCUCUCAGUCCAGGGCAGAGUGUGACAAUAAAACUUGUCGGUGAGUCAGGCUGGAUGUCAGCGGGCAUGGUUCAAAAGCCACACCCAGCUCCAAGGUCUUACCUGAGCCAGACGGACCGCGGAACGCUGCGGAGGAACAGGCGGCAUCUACGCCCAACCUUUCUUCCUUUUCGACAACCAGAUGAGACAAUGAGUACACAGGUGAGCGAACAGACAUCACCAACCUGGCCCUCGUCUCCUAAUUCACCUGUCAGAGAAACUGUUCCGGCGGCGCCUGGGGAACAUCUCUCUGAUCAAGCUCGGUUGACUUCCAGGGGGAGAGUCAUCAUCCACCUGAAAGAUUUAAAGACUUUGUAUUUACUUGAGACAUAGCUUGCCAACACUGGAGCAGAAUAAACUCCGGCAGCUAUGGAGGUGACUGGGCAGUCUACCCCAUAACCUCAGGUUAGGAAAAUGUUAAUGUAUGUGUUCCCGGUUCUUUACUAAAUUGUUUAUGGGAUGCCUGCAUAUGAAGCAUCAUUGAAUGUGUUAUAUAAGUUGCUGAGUGUUAUUCUGACCUACACUGUUAGGGCUUUGAUAUUACAACGGCCAGUGCUCUGGUUAUUUACCUGUCCAUGUUGUUUAGUUACCUGGAAAAAAAGGAAAAAAGAAAUUUACACGUACAGGCAUACAUCUGUCAUGUGGAUCGAAUGUCCAGGGACUAUUUAAUAUGUAUUUUUACAUGCACAGAUUCGAAAACAAAACUUUUGGAUUUGCAUUGUUUAAUCACAAAUUAAUGUUACUUGCAAUAAAAAGAAAUUUGAUUGCAGUGUCGAUAGUUUUGCUCUCAAAUCUAUUUUUUGAUUGCAGUUUGGAAAGAUUUGCUCUCAAACCUAUUCUGUUUGAUUGCAUAAUAAAGACACAAAAGUACCCUCAUAAAACUGGUUUUGUAGUUAAUUAAA